UUGCUGUGUUGUCCAUGCUGGUCUUGAAUUCCUGGGCUCAAGCGAUCCUUCUCCCUCAGCCUGUCAGGUAGCUGGGAUUUGUGAACACUCUGCUUCACAAUGGUGUUUCAAAGAUGGUUAAAUCCAUGGAUGCGGAAGCCACAGAUAAGGAGUGCCAACUACACUUGUACUUCUACCUGUCAUUUUGCCUUUUAAAAGACUCGAAAUGAAGAAAAUGCACCAGAACUCAAAACCUGAUGGAAACAAUUAGGCAAGGACUCAGAAGCAAAGAAUUUGAGCUGACGGGAACCUUAGAAAUCAUCCAGUCCCUCCCUCGUCUGCACAGACUCAGGCAACCGAGAUGAUAUGGCUGAGAUGACUGACCCAGCUACCACUGGGACUAGAACUCACAUCUCUGACCAUGCUUUUCCACCAUGCUGCCGUUAAUCUUUCUUAAAUGACUGAAGGACAAAUUCG
rnacentral:lncRNA from 1 species